AGCGAACGCUGGCGGCAGGCCUAACACAUGCAAGUCGAACGAACCUUUCGGGGUUAGUGGCGGACGGGUGAGUAACACGUGGGAACGUGCCUUUAGGUUCGGAAUAACUCAGGGAAACUUGUGCUAAUACCGAAUGUGCCCUUCGGGGGAAAGAUUUAUCGCCUUUAGAGCGGCCCGCGUCUGAUUAGCUAUUUGGUUGAGGUAAUGGCUCACCAAGGCGACGAUCAGUAGCUGGUCUGAGAGGAUGAUCAGCCACAUUGGGACUGAGACACGGCCCAAACUCCUACGGGAGGCAGCAGUGGGGAAUCUUGCGCAAUGGGCGAAAGCCUGACGCAGCCAUGCCGCGUGAAUGAUGAAGGUCUUAGGAUUGUAAAAUUCUUUCACCGGGGACGAUAAUGACGGUACCCGGAGAAGAAGCCCCGGCUAACUUCGUG
rnacentral:rRNA from 1 species